rnacentral:rRNA from 1 species
CCACAACGCCCGGGUACUACGAGCCUAGCUUAAAACCCAAAGGAUUUGACGGUGUCCCAUCCAACUAGAGGAGCCUGUUCUAUAAUCGAUGAUCCACGAUUUACCCAACCCCAUUUUGCCACUCAGCCUGUAUACCUCCGUCGUAAGCUUACCGUGUGAACGUUUUUAGUAAGUAUAAAGAUCCCACCAUAAACACGUCAGGUCAAGGUGCAGCUAAUAAUAGGGAAAGUUAUGGGCUACAAUUUCUAACAUAGAACAUACAAAUUACUGCAUGAAACACAGUAUGAAGGCGGAUUUAGCAGUAAAAAGA